GAGUUUGAUCAUGGCUCAGGAUGAACGCUGGCGGCGUGCCUAAUACAUGCAAGUCGAGCGAACGGACGAGAAGCUUGCUUCUCUGAUGUUAGCGGCGGACGGGUGAGUAACACGUGGAUAACCUACCUAUAAGACUGGGAUAACUUCGGGAAACCGGAGCUAAUACCGGAUGAUAUUUUGAACCGCAUGGUUCAAAAGUGAAAGACGGUCUUGCUGUCACUUAUAGAUGGAUCCGCGCUGCAUUAGCUAGUUGGUAAGGUAACGGCUUACCAAGGCAACGAUGCAUAGCCGACCUGAGAGGGUGAUCGGCCACACUGGAACUGAGACACGGUCCAGACUCCUACGGGAGCAGCAGUAGGGAAUCUUCCGCAAUGGGCGAAAGCCUGACGGAGCAACGCCGCGUGAGUGAUGAAGGUCUUCGGAUCGUAAAACUCUGUUAUUAGGGAGAACAUAUGUGUAAGUAACUGUGCACAUCUUGACGGUACCUAAUCAGAAAGCCACGGCU
rnacentral:rRNA from 1 species